rnacentral:rRNA from 1 species
CCUACGGGAGGCAGCAGUAGGGAAUAUUGCUCAAUGGGGGAAACCCUGAAGCAGCAACGCCGCGUGGAGGAUGAAGGUUUUCUGAUUGUAAACUCCUUUUGUUAGAGAAGAUAAUUACGGUAUCUAACGAAUAAUCCCCGUCUCACUCCGUUCCAGCAGCCGCGGUAAUACGGAGGGUGCAAGCGUUACUCGGAAUCACUGGGCGUAAAGAGCGCGUAGGCGGGAUAGCAAGUCAGAUGUGAAAUCCUAUGGCUUAACCAUAGAACUGCAGUUGAAACUGUCAGUCUAGAGUAUGGGAGAGGUAGGUGGAAUUCUUGGUGUAGCGGUAAAAUCCGUAGAGAUCAAGAGGAAUACUCAUUGCGAAGGCGACUUGCUAGAACGUAACUGACGCUGAGGCGCGAAAGCGUGGGGAGCAAACAGGAUUAGAUACCCCUGUAGUC